AAGGUACCAUGUUACAUUUUACAAGGUUACAAAUGGCAGUCUUCAAAUAAUGAAAAUAGUCUCCAGGUGGUCCUCCACUUUCUGAGCUAGGCUUUAUACAUAUUACCUCUGAAGAUCAGGGGAAAAAAGCCAAAAGAGGAAAAUAAAGAGUCUCUUUAUUAAAAAAAAUAUCAAGUUAUGGCCACUCCUGGUGAAAUUUUGAAUAGAGAAAAUGGCCUGAUUUAGAUAAAUCAACUGAAAAAGUGUACACAGGAGCCCAUUUCUUUAUCCAAUCCUGGAGUUAAAGGCAGUAACAUUCAUUAGUUUCCUCUAGCAAAUAAGAAAAAGUGCAUCUCAGAGGAUUCCGAAAUGGUGACAUAGCUACUUAAAGGCACUGUAGCUGCAAGAAUCCCAAUCAGUUCAACAAAUGUUUUCUGAGCUCCUACUAUGUGCCCACGCUGUGCCAGGUACCACCAAUACCAAGGUGAAAAACAACAACAACAACAAAGCCCUGUCAUUGAAGAGCUCACUGUCUAAUCUAGGGAUGGCAAGGACAUUUUCUCUCUCCUGCCAGCCCUCAGAGUAUGGUAUUGAGGAGGAUUCUAAGGUCUAGUCUGGGUUUGGUGGGCCAUCCAUUAGUGAUGCCUGACAUGGUUGUAGAAGUUGAGAGUAGCAGCUUACGUGUCAUAUGUUUUGACACAUAUGGUCUAGUCAGAAUCAUUUCAAUUUCAUUUGAAAGAGGAUAUAGCUUCUGUACUCUGUUAUGCUCCUGUCUUCCAAAUCAACAACUGUAUUUUACUGGAGGUUACCUGUAUCCAGAGGGUUUAUAACAAGUAGAGACCCUUUGGAUUUUGUGUGAUUAAGAGCAAGGCACCGUUAGGAAAGGAGAGUUGGAUUUCAUCACUAUCUCCACACUAUGCAGUUAAAGAUGUUUUAAUAAAGUAAAAUUGUCAGAUGUCACAGAGAGGCAGAAAGGACAACCAGAUUAGGAAAAUGUACAAAUUCGUAUGUGUCCUGGAGUUGAAUGGACAUUAAAUGAUAAGCGCUGGAUGACUUGUGGUGACGACAUCUUUUAACCCUGUCUACUGAGUUAUCAACACUAUUCUACAGGUUAACUAGAGAUGCUACCUGCAGGCAUCCACUGUCUGGUCCAAAGGCAUGUGCCACUAUGACCACAGCUGUGGUCUGUGUAGCUGCUGCGGCAGCGAUGUGUGUGUCUGGCGAGGGCUAGGGUUUAAUCCUUGGAUUCUGCUUCUCACUCCAUGAGCAGGGGCUAGGAGCGAUCCCGAACUGCAGCCUCAACCCUGGGAGGGAUGGAGACCUGUGUCAUUCAACAGCAGUGACCCCUUCUGGCCAAUUUAAGGAGAAGCAUUGAGGGGCCCUGAAAGGAGUCACUUCCAGUCCUCCUCAGAGGAUGUGAUGGUGGUAGGAGAGCCAACUCUGAUGGGAGGUGAGUUUGGGGACGAGGACGAAAGGCUAAUCACUAGAUUAGAAAACACGCAAUAUGAUGCGGCCAACGGCAUGGACGACGAGGAGGACUUCAACAAUUCACCCGCGCUGGGGAACAACAGCCCGUGGAACAGUAAACCUCCCGCCACUCAAGAGACCAAAUCAGAAAACCCCCCACCCCAGGCUUCCCAAUAAGAUGAUCGGCACCAGAAUCCACUGUCAAUAGGCCCGUGGGUGAUCAUUACAAUUGCAGAUCUUUACUUACAGGAGAGGAAACAGAAGAGAUAAAAAACUUUUCCAUGCAAAUAUCUAUUUCUAAACCACAAUGAUCUGAUUUUCUUUCUUCUUUCUUUUUUUCUAAUUGAGAGGAUUAUUCCAAAUAAGCUUCCAUGACCCUUUCUUGGAGGCCUUCACAGGUAAUACAGAUACUGGCACUGAUUGUAAUUAAAAUGAGAGAAAACUCUAGCGCAUCUUCUGGCACGGUUUUAACAACGUGUUUGUGUUGAAUUUCCUUUUUAUGCAUCAAACGAAGGCCAUAUUGUCCAUAAAUGCUCAGUGCUCAGGAUCUCAUUAAUAUGCCGAACCUAACUACAGAUGACUUUUUAAUAUUGUAAAAUAUUUUCUGCUUUUUGACUUGCAUCUGAGAGUUUCUUGUUUCAGUAAAAAAAGAAAAGACAAAAAAAUCAGCUUUGGAAAGUAAUUUAAAUGUACCUUAUUUUUUUUUUCUUUAUGUUUUCUUUCAUUGGGCAACAGCUAAGAGGGCCCAGCAAGGUAAUUUAUGGUUGAGCUGAUGUCAAUUGGUUCUUGUCUUGAGUUGACUCAAUUUAGCCCAAGUGCUGAAACAAGAAAUGUCAUUUUUUUCAUCAAAGACACCAGGGCAGAUUUUUAAGUAAAGAAAGACAAUUGGACCCUUAAGAAUUUAUGCAUUUGUAAAGUUGCUGUUGAUCCAAAUAUUUUCAAGCCAUGUAAUCCAUUGGUUUUGUGGGCAGUUUAAUAAACCUGAACCUUUGUGUGUUUUUUAAUUGUACCUGAGUUGACCAUCCUUUCUUUUUAUAGUAUAUUUCUUGUAUGAUAUUUUGUAAAGCUCUCACCUGGUUCUUUUAUGGGGACUUUUUGUUUUUGGGCAACUCCAGUGUAUUUAUGUGAAACUUUAUAAGAGAACUAAUUUUUCCAUUUGCAUAUUAAUAUGUUCCUCCACACAUGUAAAGACACAGUGGCUCCGUGUGUUAAAAAACAGCUGUAUUUUAUGUAUGCUUUACUGAUAAGUGUGCCAAUAAUAAACUGUGUUAAUGACC
rnacentral:sRNA from 1 species